GCCUUGAUCACCUUUGAUGCCUUUUGCUUCAACUUUUCCAUCUGCUCCUAAAUAGAGAAAGAGCAAAUAAAGAGAUAGUUUGUGAAAGAUUCCCUUGUGAACAACUUUGGUUUUUCUAUAAUUGAGCUCACAAAUGAAACAAAGUAGUACACAGGUUCAGUAUAUGCCCAGAGUUUAAAAUUCAAUUACUCCAUCUGGGUGCGGUGGCUCACACCUGUAAUCCUAGCACCUUGGGAGACCGCGGCAGGAGGACUGCCUGAGGCCAAGAGUUCAAGACCAUCCCGGCCAACAUAGCAAUUCCCUGACUCUAAAAAAAUAAAAAUAAUAAAAAAAUAAGAAAAUAAAAUUCAAUUACUCCAGCCCAGCUCAGUGGCUUAUGCCUGUAAUCCUAGCACUUUGGGAGGCCAAGAGAGGCAGACUACUUGAGUCCAGGAAUUCAAGAUCAGGCUAGGCAACAUGGCAAAACCUCAUCUCUGCAAAAAGUACAAAAAUUAACCAGGUGCGGUGGCACACAAUUGUAGUCCCAGAUAUUCAGGAGGCUGAGGUGGGAGGAUGGCUUGAGCCCAGGAGGCUGAGGCUGCAGUGAUCCGUGAUCAAACCACUGCACUCCAGCCUGGGCAACAGAGUGAGACCCUGUCUCAAAAAAAUAAAUAAAAGUCAAUUACUCCAAUUACACACGUGUGUGCACAUGGACACACACACACACAUCCCAACACACCUUUUGACUACUGUCUACUAAAUUAGUGUCAGGGCUCACAUUAGAAAUUACAACCCUACCAUCUAAGUCUACCAUGCUGGCUAUUAAAUAAUGUCAAUCCAUGACAAAAAGCACUCUGCAGAGCAGAGACAGACAGAUUAACUGACACUCAACCCUAGUCGUGACAUCCUCUAAAAACCUCCUCCCUGGAGUGAACAUAAAAUAAAGCCUGCAUCGAGGCAUUGCCCUCUCCUGCCCAACCCCAGCCCCAACCCACCUAUCCCACCGGCAAUUCAUCAUCUACAGAAACCUUGCUGCUUCCUUGCACCCCCACCCAUACCAAAGAGCCGUCGUUGCAAGUGUGGACUCUGAGGCUAAGUGCCAGGUUUCCAUUCUGUCCCCAUAUGCACACAGGACGUCAGACGAGCUAGUGAGCCUCGUGCCUCUGUUCCCUCACCUACGGAACUGGGGUGAUAAAACUACCUAGUGUCUGGGGAUGUUGCAUUUGGUGAGUCAGUACAUGAAAAGCACAAAGUGAAGAUUACACAAGUUUGCCACUACGACUACAUCCCAACCCAUCAGGGACCAGUUCUAGUGCCACCUCCUCCAUGCAGUGCUGCCAGAUGCACCAAGUCAAAAACUCAGUCUCACUCCUCAGUGCUCAUCCACUGCAAGGUUCAAAGUUCAGCAAACUACAGCCACAGGCCAAAUUCAGCCUCCCUCCCGCAAGCAAAACAAACAUGGUUGACAUUUUUUUUGUUUUUCUGGUUUUUGUUUGUGACAGGGUCACUCACUCUGUUACCCAGGCUGGAGUGCAGUGAUGAGAUCAUGGCUCAUGGCAGCCUCAAACUCCCAGGCUCAAGUGAUCCUCCCAUCUCAGCCUCCUGAGUAGCUGGGACUACAGGCAUGUGCCACCAUGCCUGGCUAGUUUUUUUAUUUGUAUAGACAAAGUCUUACUAUGUUGCCCAGGGUGGUCUGGAACUCCUAGGUUCAAGCGAUUCUCUUACCUGGGCCUCCCAAAGUGUUGGGAUUACAGGUGUGAGGCAUGGUGCUCGGCCAUGGUUUGCAUGUUUAAAUGGUCACAAAUAAUAUUCCACAAUACAUGGAAACCAUGGGAAAUUCCCAUUUCAGUCUUCACACAUAUGGUGUCACUGGAACAGAGCCAUGCUUAUUUAUGGAGCAUCUACAGCUUCUUUUCACUACAAGGGGAAGUUGAGUAGUGGUGACAGAUCUGUGUGGAGUUGAGAAUAUUUACUACCCAGCCCUCUGCAAAGCCUGCCAAUCCCUGCAGAAUCCCCCCAUCUGGAGAGUAAGAACUGUGUUGCCUUUAUUAUAAGAUUAUAAUCAGCAUGGAGGACUUGUCCAUGGUAAUAUUGUUAAAUAGUCGACAGCUCAGAAUUAGAGCACCAUAAAUAGGAACUACUAACCUCGUUCUCCCUUCUCUCCACUCGUCCCAUCCUUCCCCGGGCUGCCAGGACAUCCUGGUUCUCCUAGGUGGAAAAGCAGAAAACAGGCAUGAGUUGAAAUUCCAUUUCUGAUUUUUCUGGCCAUUGGUCUCCAUCAGCCAUGUGUUGGAGAGUCUGGGGGUGACCCCCGCCCUGACGGGCACUCUGUCCUCCACACGAGCGCAGGUGGAGAGAGGCAGGCAUGAGCGGGCAUCUGGGGUGCUGAGCUGCGUGGGAUAAGUGACCUAAGAAAUGAACUGAGUGACUUCCCAAGCGCCCAUCUCUAGGACGUGCCUAGAGCGCACAGCAAGACAGGACGAAGAGGGAGUGUGUGCAAUGGGGACUGACUGUCACAAUUGAUUGUGUUCCUCUCCUGCGACAAGGACUUGGGACGUGGUCUGAAUGUUGGAGGUGCGAGGAGGUUUCCUCACUCUGUUUCUCUUCCAUUACUCUUGAGGAGAGUGGAAUGGAAGAUUUACUAGGCUCCUAUGAAAACACAGAUGACUAUGGUUACGUGACACUAUCCCAAGAUAGAAGAGAGAGUUCUGGAGGGAUCCCUCUAGUGCCUUACACUGGGGGAAAUGCUACUAAUCGAGCUGGCAGAGAACAUCAGGUGAGUGGGGCUCUGCUGACUACACUCAAGUCCUUGUGCUCAGAACAGGCCCCCCUGAGCUCCAGGUCGGCGUGCUAUCCGUCAGCGGGUUGAAGGUGGCUCUGGCUAUGGCAGUAGAGUGCUCAUUGGGCCACAGCUCACCCCAGACUCUGGCUUCUCACAAAGCAGCAGAGACUCCCAUACUUCAGACCCACUGACGUGGCUGUGGGGCGACAGGCGCAGGCUGGGCCGGCUUGCAGGUCCUGAGACAGGACUGACACAGGCAGACUUAUUUCUGUCACGAUGUCUGUUCUCCUGGGACACCAGCGCUCCUGAGUGGGGCCUUGGUCAGCGUGGGACCUCUGAAUGGAGGGGGCUUAUCCCUACAUUUGCCCCUCCCUGCGCUCCCCUUCCCUCCCCUCUACUGGCUGCUCCCCUGUGUCUUCCUCUCCUUCCCUCUUUUUGUUCCCCUGCUUGGCUCUCGUUUCUCCCAUUCUCUAGAGCAGUGGCCUCUGAGCUUUCAUGAUCACGCACCACAACUCACAAAGCAUGAACACAGACCCCAAUCAGUAGACAUUUAUAUGUUUCUACAUUAUGCACAGGUAGUAUAUGAAAAAUAUGUUUGGUAUAAAACAUACACAAAAAUACACUUUAAGAUGGUAAGAUAAAAAUGAAGUAAAUUUUUAGUGUGAGCAAUGUGAUUGAAUGUCCUUCUAAGAAAGAAUAUAUAUUACAAAUAAUACUUAUGAAUUACAUAGAAAAAAUAGAUAUAACAUUUGCUUCUAAGAAGUAUGUAAAACUUGAAAGAAUGGACAUUGGUGAGCAGAGGAGAGAAAUUCAACACGGAAGAGGUAGAGAAAUUUGGUAUUGAAUAUAGAAGUGUUUGUCUUAGUUCUCUGUAUUUUGUAUCACCUAUUUAUCUCCUUUUAUGUGUAAUAUUUUAUAACAAAAAUUUAAAAAAUGAAAAUCCUAAACAUUCAGAAAUAAAAUACACACAGACACAGACAUACACACACACACACACACACACACACACACCACUGUGGUCACAGUGUGAGGGCAGAAGACCUGAUUUCAUUAAGGGUAAGGUUUUAGUAUUCAUUUGGACUGGGCUAUUUGCUACCGGGGGACUGGAACAGUCUCAAUGAGCUGGAGAUGUGAGGAGCCAGGAGAAGACACCUCACAGAGCAGAUGUGCCGGUUAGAAAGAAAUAAAGUUGCUUCCUGGUGACCCUUGGCUUCAUCCAGCCCAUUCAAAAAACUAUCAGGCCACCAAAUGCCAUAAAGUGAGACAUGUUAGAAACACAAACUUAUUUGUAAAAAGGUCCAUAGAAGUUUUGAUAUUUUCUUUCUAAUGCCACUGAACUGUGCUCUUAACCCAGUGAAUCAUUCUGCAUAAGUCUUAGAUAUGUGACCCUAUGGUCAAGACCAGGCCUCAAGAAUGGUACCCCAUUCAGAAACCAAGUCUAUUGGUUGUUGUUAUGGAAAGCACUCAGACUUCCAGGCUUUGGCAAAUCUCCCUCCCAGAGGAUGGAUUCUGUCCCCAGAUCCCCAGACCCUGCCUAGGUCAUAGAUUCAUAAGCAGCAGCUGUAUGUGUCAUCUGUCACUCCGCAUCUCCUGCUUCAUGACAUGAUAUGGUAUUAGCUCUCACCUGCACUGCAGCUGGGUGCUUGCUGCCAAAUAAUUCAUGAUCAGAUCUCUCUAUUGGCCUCGUGUUGCCAAAAAUCCAACAUACCUGUCACCUGAGGUGGGAGGAUCCAUGACAUUGUAUACUACUGAAAAUGUCCUGCGGUGUCAGAGAUGAGAGAACCCAGGAGGGCAGGGGUCAUGGCGAUCUGGCCCUGUGCUCUCCACCAGCACCUGGCACAGAGUCUGGCAUGGAGCAGACCCCGUGAGUGUUGCUGGGCAGAUGGGUGGAUGGAUGAAUGGGGUCAGGCUCCAGUGAAUGUUGCUGGGUGGAUGGAUGGAUGGGUUGUGAGUGGGUAGGUGGAAAACCACACAGAUGAUGAGUGAAUGAGAUGAAAGUAAUGAAGAGAGAAGCUCAAAGGCAGCCGAAGCCGUCAGGUGAGUACCUGCAUCGCCUUUGUCACCCUUCGCUCCGUCUCGUCCAUCUCUUCCAGGCAGACCAUUGUGACCGGGGUUCCCAGGGAUUCCAGGGUGCCCUUGCCUGCAGGUGUCCUGUGAGUUUAUGUUCCCUGUGCAGAUUUCAAUGGCAAGCAGAAGCCACCAGAUCCUCAUGGUUCAGAUGACAGACUGAACUGAAAGAGGGAAACAGAAACCCAGAGGAGAAACCUUUGUUGCUGGGGCCCUGGACACAGCCUCCGUUCUGUGCAGUGGGAAAUGGAUGAGCUGUCCCCUGCCCCAGACCCACACCUGGACAGACUUGGCAGAAGACUCAGGGCAGGGGAGCAAGCUGGUUAUUACCAGGAUGACAUUGUCCUUGGAAGGUAACACUUGUGAUUGGAACCACUCUUCAAGCUGCUAGAAAUCAGCUGAGUGGUAUCUCCCGGGUUUCCAAACCUCAGAGCCUCAGCUUCCUCCUGCAUGCACUGGAAAGGAUGAACACCCUCCCAGAUCUGACGAUCUAAGAGUCCAAUAGCUCUAGGGUGCCUUCAUCGAAUAUAUUCUCUUUCAUGCACUCUCUCUAUUGUGCACUUCAUAGAUUUCUUCUUCAACAUAUAUUGAUGGUUUUCUCCUACACUGUAAAUUAGCACAGCCAUAAAUAUGAAAAUGUAUACAAGUUGAAUACGUGAACCUGAUCAAAAAAAAAAGUACACAUUAAAAUUUGUGCAAAAUAAGCUAUAAGCUUCUCUAGAAAGCUCUGUUAAAAAGGUCCAUUAUUCUCAUGACUUAUUAAUGGUUUCUCUCUCUCCUCCUAGCCAGUGGUAGUGUUCUAGCAGAAUUUCAAAACCUGCCUUUGUCUCCUCUUCAGCCUCCUCGAGAAUAAAUUUUGAAAGCGGCUUACCCCUUUCCUACCCAAAACUCUAUAGACAUCUGACUAUUCUGCAAAUUAAUAAGCAGGAUUAUCCCACAGAUAAUAUAAGUGCUGUUUUAGGACCUAGAUGCCUUAAAUUGAAUGUAAAUAAAUCUUUUCCUAAUGAACUUACCUGGACCCGAGGGCUGCAGGCUGGACCCAGAUACUGCGCAAACCAAGAAUCAAGGACCAGCUAAAUAAAAUCAGCCUUCCUGCCAUACAAUUCCCCAGUGGAUAUGUCUGCAAAAUAGCAGGAAGGGGAGGGAACAGAGGAAGGCCAAGAUGUCUUCGAAGAGCUUCAAGAAUUACGGCAACACUUAAAUCAGGUAGCAUCUUCUACCAGCACCACUUACUUUAGAAAAGUUAACUCCUUUUGAAUGAAAUGAGGGAAUACUUUCAAGGGGAGUCUGAAGGAAGGAGUGCCCCAGGCAGGUUUCUUUUUCAAAGUGAUGUUCAUGCCUUUGCUUCAGUGCUUCUCCCUGACCUUGGGGUAAUUAUGGGCAACAGGACAAAACUGAAGGCUGCUAACAGUGGCUGGGUCUCAUUUGGAUCCCAGACCAUUAGAAUUCCUAUCACUUAGAUUUUCAGAUGUGUGUGUCGUAAUGCCUUACGAGUUUAGGCAUUUGUGUAGGUAAGGAUUCAGUGCCCAUUCCCCUCUCACUCACAAUCACACACUCCAUCUAACGCGGAGAACGCGGUGCAACCAUUUGUUCUAUGCCAAUCAUGGAUUCACUUUCCUCGUGUUUAGUAGUAACAUUUAUCUAAAACUUAUGAAUAGCUUCUAGAGGACAGAGGAGCCCAGCCCGGUUUCCCCAGAUGCCGCGGUGCACCGAGCAGGAGCAGAGGCCACGCGGGAGCCGGGUGUGCGGGUGGGUACCGGCCGCGCCCCUGCUCGGAGGCGGCGACUCCCUCCCCCGCCUUACUCACACCGUGCCUCAGUUUCCCCGUCAGUGCAGCGGACAAGACAAUGCCGAGGUCCCAGGCGGGCGGCAGGAUCCAAUUAGUCCGUGUAAAAUGAGAGGCAUCUGGCUUCUCCCGGGCACCCCGCAGCCUGCCCCGCCUCUUAGUGGCUAAAGGCAGGGAGCCCCUGAGUCCCAGCGCGGCUGGGGGCUCUCAGCAGUUCUGGCCGAGCUCCCUCCCGCCCGCGUCGCCUGGCCUCGAACCGCUGCACCGCGGGCGGCCCCGACGGGUUCCCGACCUCCCGCUGGGGACACCUGUCCCGCCGCCCGGCCCUUCCCCGCCUCCCGCGCCUCCGCCCCAGGGGAGCUCCGGGACAGGCCCACCUAGGCAGCCUGCCGGCGCAGACCCAGCGAGGGAAGGCCAGUCUCGGGCCUCCAACCGGACACGCGCUCCCCAUUCCGGGCUCUCCCACGUCUGCACACUCCAGCCCAGCCACGCGGAGUGGCUUCCAGAACCUGCCCUGCGGCCCCGCUUUGCCAACACCCCACCCACCCCGUGGGCAUGAUCAUCCUCACUGCAGGACCCUGCCGGGGCCUGGGGUCCGUGGGAAGCCGGCUCAGAAGUGAGACCCUGGCCCCCUGCUUACAGGGAAAAGGGCUCCAUCCUCCGAGCGCUUCCUGACCACAGCGCCUCCAGCCUCCAGGGCUGGGCGGCCCAGGCUCAGCUGGGUUCACUCCAGCUUUGCCCCUCUCGCCCGUGCGGGGUAGGGGCGCGCUUGUUAGGUCAUCUCCCCACAACUCUCCUGGAAGAAAAUGCCACCCCCAUCUCUUUCACUCCCUCCUAUACAUGGAGCCACCAUGCUCUGCCCUGUGGGUUCUGGGGCUCGCCCCCUCCCCACCCUAGCGACCGCCCCUCCCCAGUGCAGCCCAAGGUCGGGGGGGAGCAGAUCACUUUGGGAAGCAGGUGGAUGUUAAGAAGAAACAAAAAGUGGGGAGUAACCACUUGGCAGCCUUCAUAGGAAUCCUUUUCUGAUUACAGCCACAGCAAACCACGGGCUGUUGACUUAGCGUUUCUGAGCUGCUAAUUAGAGAAGGAAAUUCUAUCUACUCACCCCCAAAGGGCAAGUGAACAGGGCCACUAGCACAGCUUUUGUGGCAGGGCCUAGCCUUUGGGGCAAUCAGAGGGCACAGUCUGUUCUCUUUGCCUCCUCUCCAUCAACCCUAGCAAAAGCCAGACCCGUCCCACUGCUCCCUUCCACAUCCCUCUGACUCCAACACUGAGUCCACUGACAUUUCUCAAGCCAAGCGGCCCUCCUAGGUUGCUCUCAGAGGCUUCCUUCUCCCACGCCUACCCAGUUAGAUGGAGCUCUUGAAUGGAUUACCACACUUUUAACCACCUCUAUAUAAGAUAACUGCUUUUUCAUCCCCAAAUAAAAGUUUUAUUGAAUCUUAAUGGUAAAAUCUACUGUUUAGGGGGAACAGCAGAUAACUCAUCAUACAUUUUGGAUGCAAUUCUUUUGACUUUUUGAAAAACUGCUUUUAAUAGGUGAACUAUGUUUUUAGUUGUAUAAGAAAUUAAGAAAAAGACUGGAAAAAAUAAAAGGAACUCUAUGAUCAGUAAUAGAGUAUUAUACCAUAUCCAAUGGUUAUAUGCUUUUCUACAAUUAUCCCAGUAACCUGAAUGUAGAGUUAUUUUAUUUAUUAUUAUUAUCAUUUUAAGAGAUGUCUCGCUAUGUUGCCCAAGUUGUAGUGCAGCUUAGAUAUUCACAGGUGCAAUCAUAGAGAAUGGAGGCCUUUAACUCCUGACCUCAAGUGAUUCUCCUGCCUCAGGCUCUCGAGUAGCUGGGACUACAGGUACAUGCCAUCACUCUCCGCCUGAUGCACAAUUAUAAAAAGGAAUUAAACACUGCUGAGUUGGAGAAAAUUGACUGUGAUAUUUUCAGUUUAGUUCAAGAAAUUUUCAUACUAUAGAACAGACUGUCAAUCAUCAAGAUUCUCUAUUUUUUAUUUUGUAUAAAAUAGGAUUGUAGCUUCAUCACAUUAUUUUCUGACACUAAUUGUUUUCUCUAUCCCUUUUAUGGCCUUAUUAAAACCAAUAUAGAAAUACAUCUCUAAGGCAACUAUCAAGAACAACAGAUUAGAUAAAGGUAUUCUGUGAAAUAACCUUUGAUUAUAGUCACAACACAUCAAGUUAAAUUUUUAAAAAUUUACAUAAUGCAAUUGUGUCACGGUUUCCAAGAAGACCCCCAGGUUUGGUGAGUCACUAGAAGGACUCACAGGGCCUACCAAAUAGUCAUACUCAGGGCUUGGAUUUAUGACAAAGGAUACAAAGCAAAAUUAGCAAAGGGAAAAAGUGUAUUUGGUAAAAUCUGGAGGAAAUCAGGCACAAACUUCCAGGAGUCUUUUCCUGUGGAGGUACCAGGAUGUACUUAAUUCCCUCAGCCUCAAAAUUUGACAACACAUGUGCAAUGUUGUCUACCAGUACCAGAAUCUCAUUAGAGACUCAGCACUCAAGUUUUUAUGGAGGCUAGUCACAUAGGCUUCUCUCUCUCAAAGGUACUCAACUUCCAGACUCCCAGAAGGAAAGCAGCUAUUCAGAGUAAACCGCAUUGUUUAUACAGUUUAGGACAGAGUGAACCACUCUUCUCAGUUAGGAAAUAGUGGGGACUCUCCCAAUUCCAAGGUCCCAAAUGCCAGGCAGAGGCCAGCCAUGCAAGCAGGCCUUUCUAAGGAUGACAGUCUCAUGCCCGCUUUAUGAAAUCUCUUCUGCACAGCAGUUAUAGUCCCUACUUAAUUUUUGUGGUUGUCUUUAUAUUUUAUUUUAAAUGCAAACAAUAUAAUGAUAUAACACAGUACUGGUUUCAGUUGUUUGAUCCAUCUCAACUUGCAAGACUGGCUACCUUUUUGGCUUUUGUUGAAUAACAGGUAGUUGUAUGUAAGAUACUAUGGCAAUAUUAGGUAAUUAUAAUUUUUCCUCAUCUGAUUAAACUUUCAAUAAAAUUGUUAGAUAAAAUAAGCAUCAUAAUUUCUAAUUUAAAAUUAAAAUUGUCUUAAAUGGAUGGUCCAGUUUCAAUUCAUAUUGUGUCAAAUUUCUAUUUUUAAUUGCAAAAUAAGAAAAUAUUUAAUCAUUUUUAUCAAUUAUUUUCUUGGCUAAAUAUUCAAUUUAAAUUAUUUGCUUCACAUAUUUUUGUAUACUUCAAAUUUGGGAGAUAAUGCCCAUAUUCUGUUACUUUGACUUUUCAUGAUCUCCAGUGUUCAAGGUGUCAAUAUUAGUCUGCUUUUCAUUACCAUAAAAAAAAACCCUGAGGCUUAGUAAUUCAAAAAGAGACUUAUUUGGCUCACUACUCUGAAGCCUGUACAAGCAAGGCACCAGCAUCUGCCCAGCUUCUGGUGAGGCCUCAGGAAGCUUUAUUCAUGGCAGAAGGUGCAGGGGGAGCAGGUGCCUCACAUGGCAAGAGAGUAAGAGAGAAGAGAGCAAGAGAGAGCUGCCAGGUUCUUUCAAAAAACCAGUUGGCAUGAACUACUGACUACUCCAGGGAGGGCACCAGGCCAUUCAUAAGGGUUCAGCCCCCAUGACCAAAACAACUCCCAUUAGGCUCCACCUCCAAUACCAGGGAUCAUAUUUCAACAUGAGAUGUGGAGGAGACAAACAUCCAAACUGUAUCAGAGACUAUAUCUUACUAUAACAUAUGGCAAUGGCAUAAAUGUGUAUUGCUAUAUCUUGUAAUACUUUUUCUUCAGUAGCUUUUCAUACGUUUUAGUUAAUAUAAUUUUAUUUUUAUUAAUGUCAAUUUAACUUAAAUCUGAAAAUAUUUCGAUUUCAAAUUACAUGUUGUUAUGACCACUCAACUUUUAAAAGGCAUCUACUUUUUAUUAAGUAACAAUCUGGGACAAAUAGAGUGAAUUUUACCAAAACCAUAUUUGAUUUAUUUUUCCCACUGGUAUACAUAAUUUACUAUUAUUACAUAUAAUUUGCUUAUAAUUUUUAUUUGAAGGCUCACUGACCAUCAUUUGGAUAGAGCUUUGUCCAGCAAUGAUAAGUGUAGUUAUCUGUGACCUUUUAGUCUGGCAUUGGAUCCUCAUUUUCAGACAAAUGAGGGGAGGUGGGAUUCACAUAUAGUAGAAAUGCCAUAAGUAGGAGAGAGACUCAUAGCAGCUGAGGUCAGGAGGUUACCUACAGGGCCUUAAAAGCCAUUGGAAUUUUUCUUUUAUUCUGAGACAGGAAUCUAUUGGAAAGAUUUGGACAGGCAAGUGAAUAACUGAGGACCCCUGAGGUUGAUUUGAGCUCCUAAUAAAAAAAGAGGAAAAAGAGGGAAACGUUCCUCAGUGUAGAAUUGACCACUGCCAGCCUCACUCACAUAUCCACUGCUUUCUUGAGACUUCAGCAGGUUGUUAAGCAUCGCCGAAUUAUCAGCAGAUGACUGAAUGGUGGGCUAAAACUGUCGUCUAGUAACAGAAUAUCUAUUUGGCAGGAAGAUAACACCUGCUGUGUCCUUAACUGGAUUCAGUAAUAAAUAGGAAUAUGUACACAUGAGGAAAAGAAGGUGAAUUGUGUAUGAGGUGAUAUUUUUCCAAGUGUAUGUUAGAGUUAGAUAUUAUUGAAAAUUUAAUAAUAAGGUGAUUUACAAAAUCAGUAACAAAAAUACUUUAUCAGGUGUGUGAGACAACUUCAACAAGAAGUCGCUGUAACCCUAAAAAAACCAUCUAUGUCGGGCUGGGCACGGUGGCUCACGCCUGUAAUCACAGCACUUUGGGAGGCCAAGGUAGGCAGAUUACGAGGUCAAGAGAUUGAGACCAUCCUGGCCAACAUGGUGAAACCCCCGUCUCUACCAAAAAUAAAAAAAAAUUAGCCUGGCGUUGUGGCGUACGCCUGUAGUCCCAGCUACUCGGGAGGCUGAGGUAGGAGAAUCACGUGAACUCGGGAGACAGAGGUUUGCAGCGAGCCGAGAUCAUGCCGCUGCACUCCAGCCUGGCGACAGAGUGAGACUCCAUCUAAAAAAAAUAAAAUUAAAAAAAAAAACCAUCUAUGUCAGAGACUUCCCUAGAGGUUACAUUAUGUGACCACAUUAAUUUAGAAAAAGGGACACAGGAGUUAUUUCAAAUCAGAAGUCAGAUAUGUGUGAAAUUUAACAUGUCAACAGUUAAUCUGUAGCUGGUUAAACAAUAUAAAGUGUUUUAAGAUACUAAUUUCAGAAGACAGCUUUCUUUUGUAUCUUCAUUAUAACUGAUUUUAUUAAAAUUUUAGUAUCUUUAUAGUGACUUUCAUUAUGCCUUUUUUCUUAUAAUUACAUACAUUUUUUUCUUAUAAUACCCCUAGAAAAGUUAAGAAUUAUGUAUCAUUCCUCACAAAAGUUGAGUGACUUUUUUUCCUGUUAAACAGUAUGUUUAAGUGACUUCUUUAUUGCCAGCAUAAGGCAAGCCAGAUUAAAUCAGAGGAGAAUGUUUCAUGGAAUGUUCCAGAAAUUAUCUUAUUUUUAUCUUCACUUUUGUGAAUAGAUAUAGAAUCUGUGCCUGUUUAUUUCACGGAUUUCAGGUUAACCAUUACAGAAAGGCCAUGAUACUGUUCUUCAAAAUGCAAAUGUUUUAUGUUAAUUUACAAACUGUUUGAAAAGUUGGACAUUUCCUUUAUUUUAAAAAAUUUAAAAUUGUAAAAGCAUAUUAAUAUUUAGAUUAUGUAUUGUGUAUACAUUCAAAACAGAGAAUUAAGAAACUUACCUGAGGCUAGGAGUGGAGGUGGGAGCCUAUAGUCUCAGCAACUGAAGAGGCUGAGGUAGCAGGAUGACCUGAGCUCAGGGGGUUGAGGCUGCAGUGAGCCACAGUUGUGCCACUUUAUUCCAGCCUGAGUGACAGAGUGAGAUCCUGUCUCA
rnacentral:lncRNA from 1 species